UCAGACGAUGCGUCAUGCAUAUCAAUAAGCGGAGGAAAAGAAACUAACAAGGAUUCCCCUAGUAACGGCGAGUGAAGCGGGAAGAGCUCAAAUUUGAAAUCUUAAAGGGUUUCCCUUUACGAAUUGUAGUUUAAAGAAGUGUUUUCUGUUGAGGUUUUGGUAAAAGUUCUUUGGAAUAGGACAUCAUAGAGGGUGAGAAUCCCGUAUUUGACCUUUACUUUCAACUUUGUGAUACACUUUCAAAGAGUCGGAUUGUUUGGGAAUGCAGUCCAAAAUGGGUGGUAAAUUUCAUCUAAAGCUAAAUAUUGGCGAGAGACCGAUAGCGAACAAGUACCGUGAGGGAAAGAUGAAAAGAACUUUGAAAAGAGAGUUAAACAGUACGUGAAAUUGUCAAAAGGGAAGCGUUUGACACCAGUGUUGUUUUUCUGAAAAUCAAUUAAAGAACUGUUUAUGCUAAGUUGUUUAGACUUUAUCAGCUAUCUGUUUAGUUUUGAGCUUUUCUUUAAUGCACUUUUCAGUUAACAAGUCAACAUCAAUUUCUUUUGCUGUAAAAAAGCUUGAGGAAGGUGGCUUGAGAUUCGUCUUAAGUGUUUAUAGCCUCUUGCCUAUGCAGUCGGAGAGAUUGAGGUCUGCAGCGUAGAUCCUUCGGGGCUAAAUGCAUUUGUGCUAAGUUAUAGCAUUUCAUAGACAACUUGUUGACUAUGAUUUGUCUUGUAGCUUACUCGCUUAUGUUAUUUUACCUACGCUUAGGAUGUUGAAUCUGUGCGAGACUAC
rnacentral:rRNA from 1 species